UGCAAGUCGAACGGUCUCUUCGGAGAUAGUGGCGGACGGGUGAGUAACGCGUGAGAAUCUAGCUUUAGGUCGGGGACAACCACUGGAAACGGUGGCUAAUACCGGAUGUGCCGGAAGGUGAAAGAUUUAUUGCCUAGAGAUGAGCUCGCGUCUGAUUAGCUAGUAGGUGUGGUAAGAGCGCACCUAGGCGACGAUCAGUAGCUGGUCUGAGAGGAUGAUCAGCCACACUGGGACUGAGACACGGCCCAGACUCCUACGGGAGGCAGCAGUGGGGAAUUUUCCGCAAUGGGCGAAAGCCUGACGGAGCAAUACCGCGUGAGGGAGGAAGGCUCUUGGGUUGUAAACCUCUUUUCUCAAGGAAGAAAAAAAUGACGGUACUUGAGGAAUAAGCAUCGGCUAACUCCGUGCCAGCAGCCGCGGUAAUACGGAGGAUGCAAGCGUUAUCCGGAAUGAUUGGGCGUAAAGCGUCCGCAGGUGGCAAUGUAAGUCUGCUGUUAAAGAGUGAGGCUCAACCUCAUAAGAGCAGUGGAAACUACAUAGCUAGAGUGCGUUCGGGGCAGAGGGAAUUCCUGGUGUAGCGGUGAAAUGCGUAGAGAUCAGGAAGAACACCGGUGGCGAAAGCGCUCUGCUAGGCCGCAACUGACACUGAGGGACGAAAGCUAGG
rnacentral:rRNA from 1 species